UUAGGUAGUGCGUUGAAUAAAUAGAUGUUUAGAGGUAGAGCACUAAAUGGGCUAGGGGGAAGAGAUUCUUACCAAACCUAAUAAAACUCCGAAUGCUAGACAUUGUUCUUCAACAGACAGACUGUGGGUGCUAAGGUCCAUGGUCGAGAGGGAAAGAGCCCAGACCACCAGAUAAGGUCCCCAAAUYAUGAUUAAGUGUGAAAGGAUGUGGAAAUUCCUUAACAGCCGGGAGGUUGGCUUAGAAGCAGCCAUCCUUUAAAGAUAGCGUAACAGCUCACCGGUCUAAUAGAGUUUCUGCGCCGAAGAUGUAACGGGGCUAAAAUCAUAUACCGAAUCUGUGGGUUUAUAAAAUUUUCGAAWWUUAUAAGCGGUAGCGGAACGUUCUGUAAGCCUGUGAAGGGAUACCCGUGAGGGAUCCUGGAGGUAUCAGAAGUGCGAAUGCUGACAUAAGUAACGAUAAAAGAAGUGAAAAACUUCUUCGCCGAAAAUCCAAGGGUUUCUGCGCAAGGUUAAUCCGCGCAGAGUUAGUCGGCACCUAAGGCGAGGGCGAAAGCCGUAGUCGAUGGAAAUAAGGUUAAUAUUCCUUAACCAGAUGGUAGUGACGGAUCUUGUAAGUUGUGAGUUCUUAAUGGAUUGAGCUUGCCGCGAAAAGGUUCCAAGAAAUAGCUCCAUCAUUAGACCGUACCCUAAACCGACACAGGUGGAUUAAUAGAGUAUAUUUAGGCGCUUGAGAGAAUGAUNGUUGAAGGAACUNCGGCAAAAUGCUUCCGUAACUUCGGRAUAAGGAAGACCUGUUUUUAGGCAACUAGAGAUGGGUGGCACAAGCCAGGGAGAAGCGACUGUUUAUCAAAAACACAGGGCUCUGCUAACACGUAAGUGGAUGUAUAGGGUCUGACGCCUGCCCGGUGCUGGAAGGUUAAUGCGGUUGGUGCAAGCUAACUUCUGAAGCCCCAGUAAACGGCGGCCGUAACUAUAACGGUCCUAAGGUAGCGAAAUUCCUUGUCGGGUAAGUUCCGACCUGCAUGAAUGGCGUAACGAUUUCUCCGCUGUCUCCAACAUCAACUCAGUGAAAUUGAAUUCUCCGUGAAGAUGCGGAGUUCGCGUAGUUAGACGGAAAGACCCCGUGCACCUUUACUGCAACUUUACAUUGGUAUUAGGAAAAACAUAUUUAGUAUAGGAGGGAGACAUUGAAGCAAAGGCGUCAGCCUUUGUGGAGUCACCAGUGAAAUACCUCUUUUGUUUUUCUUGGUAUCUAACUGAUUGCCGUCAUCCGGCAUCAAGACAUUGUAUGGUGGGUAGUUUGACUGGGGCGGUCGCCUCCCAAAUAGUAACGGAG
rnacentral:rRNA from 1 species